rnacentral:rRNA from 1 species
UACGGAGGGUGCAAGCGUUGUUCGGAAUUAUUGGGCGUAAAGGGCGUGUAGGCGGUUUGGCAAGUCAGAUGUGAAAGCCCUGGGCUUAACCCAGGAAGUGCAUUUGAAACUGCCAUUCUUGAGUAUGGGAGAGGAGAGUGGAAUUCCCAGUGUAGAGGUGAAAUUCGUAGAUAUUGGGAGGAACACCCGUGGCGAAGGCGACUCUCUGGACCAAUACUGACGCUGAGACGCGAAAGCGUGGGUAGCAAACAGGAUUAGAUACCCGCGUAGUCC